CCUCCGGGGGGCAGCAGUGGGGAAUAUUGGUCAAUGGGCGGAAGCCUGAACCAGCCAUGCCGCGUGCAGGAAGACGGCCCUACGGGUUGUAAACUGCUUUUGUACCGGAAUAAACCUCUUUACGUGUAGAGAGAUGUACGGUAAGAAUAAGGAUCGGCUAACUCCGUGCCAGCAGCCGCGGUAAUACGGAGGAUCCGAGCGUUAUCCGGAUUUAUUGGGUUUAAAGGGUGCGUAGGUGGCUUUUUAAGUCAGGGGUGAAAGACGGUAGCUUAACUAUCGCAGUGCCUUUGAUACUGAAGAGCUUGAAUACACUAGAGGUAGGCGGAAUGUGACAAGUAGCGGUGAAAUGCAUAGAUAUGUCACAGAACACCAAUUGCGAAGGCAGCUUACUAUGGUGUAUUGACACUGAGGCACGAAAGCGUGGGGAUCAAACAGGAUUAGAUACCCCUGUAGUC
rnacentral:rRNA from 1 species